GGAGAGGUGUCCGAGUGGCUAAGGGGCGCGCCUGGAAAGCGCGUAGGGCUUUACGGCCUCGCGGGUUCAAGUCCCGUCCUCUCCUCCA
rnacentral:tRNA from 1 species